UCCUCAGAGUGUAUAAUCUCCCUCUAUUGAAAAUUCGGUGGUACUGCAGCGCCAUACACGUUUCAGCCUUCAAUGGACGCGUUUGAUUGGUUGAAGGCUUUCCUGCUCAGCGAUUGGCUGCACCUGAUGUCGGUCAAACUCGAGGCGCUUCUGAUUGUCUGCAGGUGUGACGCAGUGAAUUUUUAAUUAGCUAAACUCCAGCAAAGUUUAUCGCUGUCGAUUGUGUCACCUGUGCAAGUUUAAGGUAAGUUUAAUAUAUGAUUUUUGAAGUUCAGUUUAUAUUUAGUCGUACAUUUUGUAACUUUAAUGUUUGUGUGCAUGUAGUAAGUUACAUUAAUAAGGCAUGAGAUUGUUAAUAAGGAGAAUGAGAUCGCAUUCAUUUGCUAUAUUAUCAUCAUGGUGGGUAGUAAAAUAGUUAAAUUAAAUGGAUUAUUAUUUUUCAGUUUUUAUAUUAUACAGAAAUAUGUGAAAAUGUAAACAGAAGCGAAUGAAAUUAAAUCGUCAGGUCGCGUAUGGCGUGGUCACGGUUUCAGUCAUGCACAUGGCAGCUCUUAAAAACAUAAUACUGUAAACAACCGCUUGAAAUAUACCCUGUAGUGAUUCUAGUGUUGUUUUAAAAGUAAUACUGUACAAUAAAUUGCAGCUUGCUGUGUUUCGCCAUCGUAAGUUGGCUUUAGGACAUAAACGUAAUUGACCAGGUGACGCGUCAUUCCAGCUGUUAUGGUUUUAUGAUUCAGAAAUAUUUUAUGUAACUGUAAUCUUAAAUCAAUAUUUGUAUUGUUUUGUCAUAAAACACCAACGUGACACUGCUUUACUUGUUUCUUCUGUUGAUGGUUUAGGCCAUAUAACGUUAUAUUGUUUUAUAUUGUUGUGUUAAUUAUUUACACUUUUCAUACAUAUAAACAUGCCAUUUACAUUUUACCAUUUGCUUAAUCUGACGUGGCAGACGUUCACCUUACAAAAAUAUUCAAACGUUAUGCCAUAGAGCCUAUUGUUUAUUUAGAAAUGCAUCUGACAAAAUUGUACUAAUGUAGUAUAAUGCAAGUAAUAUUUAUUAGGACCAUAUACUCCAUGUGUUCUUUGUUUCUAGUCAACAUGUUGAGAAAGAGGAGAAUUAAACCUGAACAGGAUGCCAAAGAGCAUGUGUUGUCAGGCAAAGACAAAGCCUUCAUUGAGAAACGAUACAUCAACGCAUUUAAAGGACGAGGUGUGUUUGCACUUGAACACAUUAAACCAUCCACAUUUGUUGUGGAAUAUCGUGGAGUACUGUCUCAAAGUAAAUAUGUUGAUGACAUUCAAGGCAACUACUUGUUCGAUUUCACAUGGAAUGGAGCACAUUAUUGCAUAGAUGCUUCAAAAGAGGAUGGAUCGCUAGGACGACUGGUGAACGAUGAUCACAAAAAUCCAAACUGCAAAGUCAAGACGGUUGUUGUUGAGGGAAAGCCACACCUGUGUCUAUUUAGUCUAAGAGACAUUUGUCCAGAUGAAGAAAUUAUUUACAAUUAUGGGGAUUCCUCUUGGCCCUGGCGUUCAGUAGAAUUGUGUGAUGAGAUAUCGGUGGCCGUGGAUGAAUCCAUUGAGGGUACUUCCUCAUCAGGAAAAGAGAAAGAAUUGUGUGAUGAGAUCCCAAAGGCCAUGGAUGAAUCCAUUGAGGCUCCUUCCUCAUCAGGAAAAGAGAAAGAAUUGUGUGAUGAGAUAUCGGUGGCCGUGGAUGAAUCCAUUGAAGGUCCUUCCUCAUCAGGAAAAGAGAAAUGCCAUCAUGAAGUUCAUUGUGCAGUAAUAUCCAGUUUGGAUUCUUGUGUAAAUUGCAGUGGACCCGUGUCUAGUCGAAAAUGGCUUGGCUUAACAUGCAAAUUGUGUUCAAGAACAUGGCACAAAACCUGCUUCAUGAAGAAUGAGAAAUUGAUGGAUGUUACAUUUUCCAGUUCUGAAGAAAGCAGUUCUGAUGAAGAGUAUACUCCCCAAGCCGAUAAAAGCAUUGAUGAAUCCUCUGAUGAAUUCAUCCCAGAUUCAAGACAAAACAGCGACAGCUGUGAUAGUCUAAUUAUCAAUACAAGGAAUCCACCAUAUUGUAAGACCACUCAACUUGUUUCAGAGUCUAAGAAGGCAAAGAGUGUGUCUCAACCCACUCACUGUUCAUCCACUGAGCAAGAUAUGGUCAGUGACAUAUCCAGCUCUGCUCAAGAUCUCAUAUGUAAUGAUCAAGACAAAACCACAAGCAAUACAGAGAUGCUUCAGAGUUUUAAGAAAACACCAACAGAGUCUUGUGAUAAACAGUCAAACCUCAAAGACACUUUUUCCACCCACGAAAAUUACUGUUAUGUGUGCAAGAAACCUCAGUCUAAAAUUGCCCGUCACUUUAAAAUUGCGGCUGCAUUUCUGCUUCCUAAACACUCCAAGGACAGAAAAAGGUUACUUGAGAAGCUCCGAAACAGAGGCAACUAUGAACAUAAUCAAGAGGUUAUGGAGAAUAAGAGUGGACCACUGAAGGUUAGAAGACGACCAGUAAGAUCCGAGAUCGAAUUGAGUACCAAAACAUACGUGCACUGCAUAUACUGUAAAGGCCUGUUUGUACGCAAGGAGUUGUGGCGCCAUACACGGAGAUGUCCUUCAAAGAUUUGUUCCGAAUCUGAAGCAACUGGUAAGGCCAAAGUUCUAGUUUUGGCUGAUAUCGCAGAGUCAACAUUCUCUCAAGCAAUCUCUCCUGAAGUGUGGAAAAUCUUGGGAAAUAUGAAGAAUGAUGACAUUUCAUCUGUUGUUCGAAAUGAUUUUCUCAUACUGCAGUUGAGUCAGAGUCUUUACAACAAACACGGAAGUGAUCCAACGAAAUUUGAAUACAUCAGACAGAAGGUACGGGAAGUGGGCAGACUCUUGCUAAGCAUGAGAAAAAAAUUCUCCAUACUUAGCUUUGAAGAUGCUUUGAAGCCGAACAAUUUUUACAAAGUCAUUGAGGCCGUGAAAGAUGUUGCUGGUUAUGAAGAAAAGAGCCACUCGUAUAAGACACCAAGUCUUGCACUGAAGUUAGGACAUUCACUUAACAAAAUUGCUGACAUCAUUCUCUGCAGGGCCAUCGCAAGAGAGGAUGAUGCUCUGAUGAAAGCAGCAGAGCGAUUCAAAAGACUCUGCUCAAGUGAAUGGGCAGAACAUGUCUCCCAUGCUGCUCUUGCUACUUUAAGCAAAUCAAAGUUUAACAAACCAUCUACCAUACCAUUCACACAUGAUGUGCAGCUUCUCCACCAGUGCCUAGAGAAGAAAUCAGCUGAGGCUUUUGAAAACCUGAAAAACCACGAGUCUUCACAGGCAUACGCAGAACUCGCCAAAGUGACACUGGCACAAGUAAUCAUCUUUAACCGACGUCGUGCAGGAGAAGUUUCAAAAAUGACACUUGAGUGUUUUAUGAAAAGAGACCAAACUGAGCUCCAUGAGGACAUAGCUCUUGGUCUAUCUCCGUUUGAGCAAAAAAUGUCCAAGCAUUUCAGCAGAGUAGAAAUAAUGGGCAAAAAAGGGAGAAAAGUUGCUGUUCUGCUAAGCCAUGAUCUUGUUGGAGCAAUACAACUUCUUGUGGACAAGAGAGAUUCAUGUGAAGUAGAUGGGGACAACCCCUUCCUAUUUGCAAGACCAAAGUGUUCAGCCACCAGUUUCUUCAGGGGACAAGACUGCAUCAGGCUUUUUGCAAAUCAGUGUGGUGCCCAGAACCCUGAAUAUCUCAGAUCUACACAACUCCGUAAGCAGGUUGCAACAAUGUCCCAGAUUCUUAAUCUAAAGGAUAAUGAGCUGGAUCAGCUUGCCAAUUUUUUGGGCCAUGACAUUCGGGUCCAUAGAGACUUUUAUCGGUUGCCAGAUGCAACUAUAGAAAUUGCAAAAAUCUCAAAGCUGCUACUGGCAAUGGAGAUAGGAACCCUUGGAAGUUUCCAAGGAAAGUCUCUUAGUGAAAUUGAGAUUGAAGAUGAAAUUGAUCCUGAAUUAGAUGAGGAAGAAGUAAGUGAUGAAGAAGACGAAGAAUCGGAUUCUCUCCAUGGAGUAAAUGGAAACAAAAAAAGGGUGGACCAUGUAAAGUCGACCCAGGAUGAGGAGACCGAAAGUUCCAACGGAAAACAAAAAAUGCCCCCCAAUGAACCAGUCAGCUCCACAGGAAAACGAAAAAUGCCCCCAAAUGACCCUGUCAGCUCCACAGAGGCCAAAUCAAGGAGAAUAGUGAAAAGGCCAUGGACUACCAAUGAAGUGAAUGCCGUUAUGAAACAUUUUAAAGUCCAAAUUUCAAAGGGACAUCUCGCAACAAAGGCAGAGUGUGAGCAGUGCAAGACUGCAGAGGACCCGGUGCUAAGAGAAAGAACUGUACAAAACAUCAGGGAUUUCGUGAGGAACCGAGGUUUGAUGUUGAAAAAAAAUUGUUCUUAGACAGAUCAUGGUCACCUUCUUUUAAGGUUUGUGGCUUUUGUUACUGUAAGUUUACAAGUUAAAUGACUGGCUGACUAUUGUUCUCUUGUUAAAACUUUAAAAUCUCUCAUUUCCUUAGUUAAACCCAGAUCGUCCUUACAAUACUAGAUCGUCAUGUACAUACACACAUUUAACUAACACCUGAUUGAGAGAACGAUUUGGGUUUAGCUAGAUAUCAUUCACAUACACGCACCUCAGAAACACUUAAUAAAUGUCCAUGUUAACCAAAAUUGUCCUCACAAUCAGGUAUUAGUUAGGUGCAUGUGUUUGUGUAUGUGAUUGAUGUCCAGGUAAACCCAAGUUGUCCUCACAAUUAAGUGUUAGUGAGGUGUAUGUUUGUGUAUGCGAAUGAUGUCCAGUUAAACACACAUUGUCCUCACAAUUAAGUGUUAGUGAGGUGUGUGUUUGUGUAUGUGAUUUGAUGUCCAGAUAAACCCAAAUUGUGCUCACAAUUAAGUGUUAAUGAGGUGUGUGUGUAUGCGAAUGAUGUCCAGGUAGAUCAAAAUUGUCCUCACAAUCAAGUGUUAGUUGUGCGUGUAUGUGUAUGCGAAUGAUGUCCAGGUAGAUCAAAAUUGUCCUCACAAUCAAGUGUUAGUUGUGCGUGUAUGUGUAUGCGAAAUGAUGUCCAGGUAAACACACAUUGUCCUCACAAUCAAGUGUUAGUUGUGCGUGUAUAUGUAUGCGAAUGAUGUCCAGGUAAAUCCAAAUUGUCCUCACAAUCAAGUGUUAGUUGUGCGUGUAUGUGUAUGCGAAUGAUGUCCAGGUAAACACACAUUGUCCUCACAAUCAAGUGUUAGUUGUGCGUGUAUAUGUAUGCGAAUGAUGUCCAGGUAAAUCCAAAUUGUCCUCACAAUUUAAGUGUUACUGAAGUGUGUGUGUAUGUGAAUGAUGUCCCAUUGAACCCAGGUUUAUUCCCAUAGUGAAGGGUUAGUUAUAUGUGAGAGUACAACACUACAAACCUUGGUUACUCUUGAAAUACCAUAUACAUGUUGAUGUAUAAAAAAUGUUUCGACAGACUGGUGUUAAGAUAUUGUUAACCCAAAAGUUAAUAAAAGGAAUUGAAAAGUU